AGAGUUUGAUCCUGGCUCAGGAUGAACGCUAGCGGCAGGCUUAACACAUGCAAGUCGAGGGGCAGCAUAAUGGAUAGCAAUAUCUAUGGUGGCGACCGGCGCACGGGUGCGUAACGCGUAUGCAACCUACCUUUAACAGGGGGAUAACACUGAGAAAUUGGUACUAAUACCCCAUAAUAUCAUAGAAGGCAUCUUUUAUGGUUGAAAAUUCCGAUGGUUAGAGAUGGGCAUGCGUUGUAUUAGCUAGUUGGUGAGGUAACGGCUCACCAAGGCGACGAUACAUAGGGGGACUGAGAGGUUAACCCCCCACACUGGUACUGAGACACGGACCAGACUCCUACGGGAGGCAGCAGUGAGGAAUAUUGGUCAAUGGACGCAAGUCUGAACCAGCCAUGCCGCGUGCAGGAUGACGGCUCUAUGAGUUGUAAACUGCUUUUGUACUAGGGUAAACUCACCUACGUGUAGGUGACUGAAAGUAUAGUACGAAUAAGGAUCGGCUAACUCCGUGCCAGCAGCCGCGGUAAUACGGAGGAUUCAAGCGUUAUCCGGAUUUAUUGGGUUUAAAGGGUGCGUAGGCGGUUUGAUAAGUUAGAGGUGAAAUGUUAGGGCUCAACCCUGAAACUGCCUCUAAUACUGUUGGACUAGAGAGUAGUUGCGGUAGGCGGAAUGUAUGGUGUAGCGGUGAAAUGCUUAGAGAUCAUACAGAACACCGAUUGCGAAGGCAGCUUACCAAACUAUAUCUGACGUUGAGGCACGAAAGCGUGGGGAGCAAACAGGAUUAGAUACCCUGGUAGUCCACGCAGUAAACGAUGAUAACUCGUUGUCGGCGAUACACAGUCGGUGACUAAGCGAAAGCGAUAAGUUAUCCACCUGGGGAGUACGUUCGCAAGAAUGAAACUCAAAGGAAUUGACG
rnacentral:rRNA from 1 species